GUCGAUCACCUCGACAACGAAGCGGCACCGGUUCUCGAGGCUGCCACCGUACUCGUCGCUGCGGUCGUUGGCGCUGUCCUUCAUGAACUGCUCCAGGAGGUAGCCGUGCGCGCCGUGGAUCUCCACGCCGUCGAACCCGGCCUCGAUGGCGUUCCGCGCGGCUCGCCUGAAGUCGUCGAUGAUCUGAGGGAUCUCCUCCGUCCUCAGCCGUCGGGGUUUCGAGUAGACGAUGCCUGAAUCGUCCGGUGUGAUCUGCCUGUCUGUGCUUGAGAUGGGCGCCUGCCCGUCAGGUUGGUAUUCUGUUGGUAAUUAAUUCAUGGUUUGCAAUUCAAUCAGCCAAAGAGAACAAUUUGCAAGAAACCAAAAACUCAACAAAAACCUAUGAAUCAAUUGCCAGCAGCUUAACUAUGUGAAGGAGUACAUACCGUUGGUGGAGACCCUGCCGACGUGCCAGAGCUGGCAGAUGAAGAGGGCGCCCUUGCGGUGGACGGCGUCGACGAUGGGCUUCCACGCCUCGACCUGCUGCUGCGUCCAGAUGCCGGGGGUGUCCGGGUAGCCCUGCGCGGUGUCGGAGACGCCGGUGGCCUCCGUGACGAGGAGGCCGCCGCUGGUGGCGCGCUGCGUGUAGUACAGCACCGCGUGCGGCCGCGGCACGUUGCCGUAGGAGCGGUUCCGCGUGAGCGGCGCGAGCACCACACGGUGGGAGAGCUCGAACCGCCCCAUCUUGUACGGCGUCAGCAGCGGGAUCUCCGCCGCCGCCGCCGCGUCCUUCUCCGCCUCGCGCGCCAUCUCAACGCUAGUGUGGCCUCUGCUACUAGCUCACUGUGCUCUGCUCUGCUCCUCUAUUGUGUUUUGCUCCGAGUCCGAUGGUCCAAGGGGGUUGAUGAUGCUCUUUCAUUUAUAGCGUCUGAGUGGGACCCUGGCGGCUUGACGGAAAUGUGCGCACUGCUAUUCCAUCGGAUCUUUCCUGCGUCACCCUCUCCGUCAUCGUCUGGUCGGUAGGAAAGUCUCUCCUUACCUGGGAGAGCGCACUGAUUUUCCUCGUGUGGGGGAAUGCGUGGUUCUAAUUUUCUAAACAUUCUUUAAUGCAACAGCCGUCUGGUGCUGAACUACUGAUGACCGGUGUCAAUCAACAAGAGUAAGAGAUGCACUGAGCUGUUAGUUCUUUUUUUUUUAACGUAUAGGUUUCUUGCAUUAUCGGCUUCACCUUUUCGCUUAUAUUUAUAUUUAUUAGUCAAAAUUAAAAUUUCAACCUUAAAUGUAGAGUUGAUUUUGAGAUUUUUUUUUGUCAUCGCAGUUUAUUUUUUAUCUUUUGCUUGUUUCUCUUAGAUCGUUAAGAACAUGUAUAUAAAAUAUAUACAACACUGCAUCUAAUACAAUUUUACUAGUAGUAGUAACCCACGGGCUAUUAUUAUUGAUAGUAUAAAUAAAAUUUUAAUUGUAGCAGGUUAUACUAAAGGGAAAUUGCUUUGCGUACGAUAAAAUUUGUACGAUUUUAGUACGAUCCUACCAUGCAUGUCUUUUUUUUUUAUUGGGUGGAAACAUGUUGGACCCCACAUUUGCAUCACACACAAGAGACUAUGAAGUAUCGUAGUCUGAUCGUAUGAAGUUUUAUCGUACGUAUAGCAAUGCUCAUACUAAAGGUAGAGUCCACACCAGUUAUGAGUUGCUAAUUAUGAAUACGAAUUUUUAGAAUUAAAUUUCAAGAUAGGUACGUCUUUAUAUUUAUUCAAUUUGAAUUUUUGAGUUAUAAAUAUUAGAAGAACUAAAACUUAAGAGUUCAUAGUGAUAAACAAUUGAAUGUUUUGGUUAACAGGUUCUCCAUAUAUAGAAAUACAACCUAAGUAAUAAAUGAUCACAUCCUUUGAGUUAGAACACUACUACACGAUAGAUUUUUGUGGACACUACCCUCUUUUGUUUCCAUGCGGUUCGUAAGUGGAACCGCACAAAAAAAUAGGGGAACCGGGGCCGAGCUGUCGCCCGCACGGGAAAAUCAAUUUUCUCGUGCGGUCCUCCUAAAUGGACCGCACGGGAAAAUGAGUCGAUUUUCCAGUGCGGAUCUAUUAAGAGAGCCGCACGCAAAAAUAGUAUUCCUUCUUUUCCCUCCCACCCACUUCAAAAUUUCCCCUCAUAUAUCUCUUUUAAUUUCUCCUCACACCCCUCCCCUCUUAUCUCUCUUCUCUCUCCCCCUCUCUCUUUCACGUCUCUCCUCUUGUCUCCUUUCGGCGCGCGGGUGACGGCGACGGCGGCGUGCGGCGACAGCGACAGCGGUUCGCGUCGGUGCGCAGUGACAGAGGCGGUGCGGCGGCGGCCUCAGCUCCACACGGCGGCGGUGGAGGCGCGGGAUCCGGCGGGCGGCGGCCAUCCCCGCUCGGAUCCGGCAUGCGGCCGGCCUUCCCCCGCGCGGGAUCCGCUCCCCUCCCCUCCCCUUCCUUCCCUCCCUAGAUCCGGCGGAGGGGAGGGGCGUCCGCGGCGGUGCGGCCAGAGGGGAGGGCGGAUCCGGUGGGCGGCGGCGCGGAGUCUAGCGGGAGGAGGGUGGCGCGGAGGCCGCCACCGAUGACGAUGAGGUGGAGGAAGCGGCGGCCAGGAGCGGCGCCGCAGCUGCGCGCCAACGAGUAGGCGCCCAUCGCGGCUGCUGGCGGAGGCAGCGCGGCGGCCGCCGCCGACGAUGACGAUGAGGAGGAGAUGGCUGGGAUCUGGCAGCCGGGAGUGUCGCCGCCCUCCCCACGCCAGGAUCUAACGGUGGCGGCUGCCCUCCGCUCGGAUCUGGCGGCGGCGGUGGCAGCCGGCGUGGCGGUGGCGGGGAGUAGCGGAUCUAGGGUUAAGGUUCGGUAAUUUGUGAAUUUUAUUUUUUUUGGAUUUUUAUUUUUCCGUGCGGGCGACAUAAGCAACCGCACGGAAAAAUCCGAUUUUCUCGUGUGGGGCGCCACCCGCACGCAAAAAUCACGAUUUUCGCAGACGAAGUGUUGCAUGUGGGCCAUUCAUCCGCACGCGAAAUUUUUCUUGACCGCACGGAAAAACCCAUCCCGUAGCAAUGGAAGCUUCUUCACAAUGUCUAGUUAGAGAGAUUUGUUUCGGUUCAAUAAAAAGUACAUCAAGCUACCGGUACCUCACGGUACCAAAUCAUUUCCGAUCGUUGGAUCUAACAAUGCCCAUCCUGUCUAGCUAUAUCCAAUAAUCGAAAACUUGGUACCAUGAGAUACUGGUACCUUAAUAUACUUUUUGCUGAACCGGAGCAAAUCUCCUAGUUAGAACAUAUAUGGAUAGAUUAGUGGUAUGUCGAGGACAGGAAAAUGACACAUCUUCCGAGACACCCAAGCUACUGAGGUAAAGAUUCACGCACCAACAAAUUUGACACACAAAGUGCCCUGCGGGAACCAUUUCUCAAGCAAAGGUCCGCAAGGAAUGGGGGAAACAGGCCAACAAGACCUCAUUAAUUAGGAUAAGGUGGCUCAGGGCGGGGGAGAAGUACUGCAUCAGCCACCAAGACAAGGGUGAUAUGUGGGUGUGAUCUUCACCCCACGCCAGAAUCGCCGUAGGCAACGACACGGUGACUCCCUCAUCAACCACGGUGUCAUCAACCUCGCCGGUGAGCCAGGAGAGGCUCUCCUGAUAGAUUGCGAUAUAGACUCUCAUUGAAGCGGGGGACGCUACUAGACGAUGUGGUGGGUGGGGCAGGCUAGAUCCGACAAAGGAGAGUAGGGUUUUGAAGGCAUGGCGCCAAGGUGGUAGAUAUGAGGAGAGAGGAACAAGAUAUGGGGCCGACUUGAAACGAGGGAGGAUAGGGGAGGGCGGGGGAGGUGGAUCCAUGGAGGUGAUCUCGAUCAAUAGAUUUAAUGUACACAUUUUUAGGUCUCUGAUUUGUCACAUGAUGAUGAUGAUGAUGAUGAUGAUGAUUAUAAUGGGUAAAACAAGUCAACGAAACAUGUAACCCAUAUAUUUGGCAGUAUCAAUACAAUAAAUACUCAACAAAAGAUAACCUUAAUUAAAUUACAAAUAUGCAUGCACAGAAAUCUACUCAUGCGUGUUUCACAAGUACACAUUAUUGAUCCAUAAAAAAAAACUCGGCGAUUUAGGUGAUAAUCAAACAAUUACUGUAGCUGAGUCCUCUUUCUUCUCCUCAAGGAAAGGGUAAUCCGUGUAGCCAACGACGGGAUCAUGUGUGUAAAAUGUAGAUCCAUCAUACUUGUUUAACGGUGCAUUAAGCUCGAACCUCCUUGGCAAGUCGGGGUUGGCCAAGAAGAGCCUCCCAUAGGCGACGAGGUCGGCAUAGCCAUCAUCCACCACCUUGUUCCCUUCCUCCCGGUCAUACCCUCCGGAGGCAAUGAAAGUGCCAUUGAAUUGCUUCCGAAAUGGCAGGAGGCCAUGGUUGAUCUUCCUCCGUCCUUCGACGGUGGCCAUCCUCGGCUCCACCAUGUGGCAGUAGAGGAGCUCUGGGUGCUUGUUGAGUUGCCGCACCAUGUAUGAGCCGAGAGCUUCGGGGUUCGAGUCGAAGCAGUCCAUAAAAUCUAUAUAUGGCGACAAUCUGAUCCCAACACGGUCAGCUCCCACCUCGGCGACGACGGCGUCGAUCACCUCGACGGCGAAGCGGCAACGGUUCUCGAGGCUGCCACCGUACUGGUCGGUCCGGCCGUUGGCGCUGUCCUUCAUGAACUGAUCGAUGAGGUAGCCAUGCGCGCCGUGGAUCUCCACGCCGUCGAACCCCGCCUCGAUGGCGUUCCGCGCAGCCACCCUGAAAUCGUCGACGACGUGAGGGAUCUCAUCCGUCCGCAGCCGCCGGGGCUUGGAGUACACCGUGUGUGAAUCGUCCGGUGUGAUCUGCUUGUCUGUGCUUGAGAUCGGCGCCUGCCCAUUCGGCUGUUGAUCUGUUGGUUCAUGUCGCAAUUAAUCGAAUCAAUCAACAAAGCACAAUUUGCAAAGACCUUAUAUUGAUAGAUCAAUCAUCAGCAAUAUAGAGUGAGAUUUGCUCCGGUCAAAAAAAAAAAAAAACCUCGAGGUACCGGUACUUCACAAUACUAAAUCACCUCCGAUUGUUGGAUCUAAUUGAGCAUGAUAGAUAUUGUUAGAUCCAACGAUCAAAAAAUGAUUUGAUAUCGUGAGGUACUGCUACCUUAAGAUAUUUUUUGUUGGACUAGAGCAAAUCUCAUUUUCUCUACUACUUAAAAAAUCUGUAGUGGUGGUCUUGAUUUCUGACAUAGCAGACGCAUCUAACAAACACGUCUAAUCUCAACCAUCCGAUUUUCAUAUCCAAUGGCGUCAAAUCUCCUCCCAUCGCUCCUCUCCUCAUCACGCGCCACGCCCACUCCUUUCCCCACGCCGCGUCCUUCGCCCUCCUCCCUGCGUCGCCUCCUCGUGGUCUUGAAUCCAACAGAUCAGAUCACAAUUCAAUCUUCCGCACGCGCCCCACGCAUCGUCGAUCGCACGCGGCGCGCACACACACCCCUUUCCCCCGAUUUUCUCUCCCUCUCAACGCCGUCUCCCAUCUCUGUUUCCUUCGCGUCCGCCUCCUCCGCCCCGCACCAAAUCUUCGCCUCCUCUUCUCCCGCCUCGCCGGCGCAUGGCGGCUGAGGGUGAGGGCAGGCUGGCAGCUGAUGAAGGCACACUACGACCCAAUCUCCGGCUCGUCGACCGCCUCCACGCACGCCCCGCCCCCGAUCUCCGCCGCCUCUUCUCCCGCCUCGACCGCCUUCACGCGCGCCGCCGGAAGCCAAUCUCCUCGGCGCCACCCCAUUCUGUGAGUAGUCCGCCUCCUCCGUCCGGCCCCCUGUCUCCGCAGCCUCUUCUCCCGCCUUGCAGGUGCCCUCCAACUCAAGAGGGCUGAGGGCGAGCACGGUGGCGCAUGGCGACUGAGGGUGAGUGCAGCUGACGACGCCACAUGACGAACCCAACCGGCUGCAUGUUAUCUUCCCCCCAAACCCUAAAAUUUCCCCAUCUCUUUCUACAAAUCCAUCUACAUGUUUUCAGAUCGGGGAUUUUGUCCUUUUGGGCGUGUUAAAUUUCAAACAUGGGAAUUAGAGAUCGGGGAUUUUGUCUUUGCCUGCCAUGUUUGUACAAAUUAUGCUAAAUGGACAAAUGAGAACACUAGGACAGCUGCUUGUGUAGAGACUGAAUGACACUGUUGCAUAACACUGUUGCUGGAUCUCCUCUCUCUUGAGACAGGGUUAUCUUUAAAUCAGUGCAAGUACGUACUGUGUUCUCAACAAGAAUUGAAAACCCAAAUAUGGAUUUAGUUGGGCAUGAUGUGUCCAUUAAGGUAAGCGAUCACCCACAUAACCCCCACAAAUAAUAGCUUCAGAACAAGUAGAUUGUUACAUCUGAAGAAAUAUCAUAUCACUCCUGGGCAUAUAUUCCAUAUGGACAAUAUGAUCGAACUUGUGAAGCAUCAGACAUGCAGAAUUAAUUUUUUUCCCCUUAUUUUCUUGAUUUUGCUGCAAUUAUAAGUAAGCAUUGUUAGUAUGAUCCCAUGGCGUGUAAUAGCAGUUCUGAACUGAUAGAUACCUGCACCCUCAAGAAAAUGGUUUCUACCGUCAGAGUAACAGGUCAGGGUCAUGCUAAUUAAUACUCCUUCUCAAAUGAAUUUUUAUCUCAAACAGUCUCAAUUCAAAAAAAAAUCAGUUCAUCAGUUUGUCAAAAAUUGUCGCUGGAUGGAUCGGUUUUAGCAUUAAUAUUGAAGCAAAUAAAUGCAUAGGUGAAUUAGAUUUUUUUUUUCUCUAUAAGGAUAUUUUGUGCCACUUGCUUUGGUUGUCGGUUAGUUCAUCCAUGAACUCGGUAGGGAACUUGUCUAAGCAACCAAUGGUCAAUUUUCUCAUGAAGCAGUCUUUUUUUCUUACCAGUUAAAAUGUUUCCAGCUACAACAAAUACUCAGGUUUCAUUUCAUUGCUCAAUUUCAGAUCAUUUGUCGAGGUUGGAAUUGCUGCGGGAUCAAGCGAAGCCUCGUCAGGCCAUGCCCUCGUCUCAUUCCUCAGUUUAUAGAGUCCAUUCCAAGCAGGUACAAUAUACAUCCUCGGAACAAAUAAAUGUAUUUGGUUUUAUAAGAAAAAUUAGUUUGCAGUGCAUCAGUGAUCCUAUAUUCCUGCUUAUUGGAGUACAUACAUAUAUGAUUAUUGGCGUUCAUCUGUGAUCAGUUCCCUAGGUUUAGAUCCAUUGUGUUAUUUAGAAUUAGAAUGGUCAUUUAUUCAGGGGGCUUUGACCUGUUAGUAACCCGAGUCAAGUCAUGGCCUAAUUAACUGAAUGAAUGAUUUCAGACUCAAGAAAAUUGAAAAUAAUCUACGCAUCUUAUCUUAUGAAAAUAGUAUGGGAAAGAGCACAGGAAAAUAAUCUAUCUGAACUAUACCAGUUUGUAGCGUGGGAAUAUGUUAUACUCAGUUUUGAGGGUGUACCACGGUAACUAAUGAUUCACAGCUGCUUUCCUCCAGGGUGAACCCUCACUUUGCUGGUUGGCUUUCAGCCGUGGAUUAGCAACUGGUUCAUGUUCUGAAAUUUUUAUACUAACCAUCCUCAGUCUGUAGUAUUUGAAAUCAAUCUUUCAGUUUGUUCUGAAAUUUUUAUACUAACCAUCCUCAGUCUGUAGUAUUUGAAAUCAAUCUUUCAGUUUGUUCUGAAAUUUUAUGCAGAAUAUAACCAAUGCCAGUAUUUUGGAAUGAGCGCAGAAUUGAUCCGUCACUUCUGAAGAAACUCCGUUACUUAGCAGAAGCAGAGGCCACAACCUGGCAGCGGCUGGUCACUUCAGCGGUCUCCAAUUGCCUUUGAAUACGCCAAUGGUAAUUUCAAAAAUCUCCAAGUAGUCCACUAAUUUUAUUACUUACAUUUUUUUUCAUCUAAAGCAAAAUUGAAAACAUAUGUUUCCUUGUAAUUCUAAAUUUGACUGCACAUAUUUUGAUUUUUGAUGAGUACUGCUCGAUAGAUUCAAAGCGGCCAUGAGUUUUUUUUUUUGAGUUGAAGUGGCAAGAGCAUUGCCGAAUAUAUUAGACGAAUAGAGUUCACCCUGUUUAUAAGGAAAACCGGGCCCAAAAAACAUACAACUGCCCGGUUUGCUAAAGUGAAACCGGCGAAAACCUUACACAGAAGACACAAAAAGCCUGAGACAAGACAACUACGAACUGUCGGAGGCCGAGGGAUGAGCAAGACCGUAAGAUGAAAUCUCCAAGGAGGUGAAUAACGACAUAAGCCGCUGUCGACGUCCGUCCAAAAACUGGGCUGGUUUUCACCCAGGGGGGAGGGAGUCCACAAGGCAACACCUCCAGGGAGGAAACGGCACCCGUGGGCGUCGAUAUUGCCAAUCCUAGAACAGGCAGGGCAUGAGGUUUUUGGGAACUAGCAAUUAUUGAUUUUGAUUGUUGAUGAUGAAGAGUUCUGACUAUCUACAUGGGUUAGUUUCUUGUUCAACAAAUUCAGGAAAUAGUUUCAGCUCAUCAGAAGUUUGCAUCGAUGUCAUCCCUUCUAGCCAUCUUCUGUGCAUUUGCUUGGAACAUUUGGUUCUGCACUACCGUUGACUAUAAAAUACAGCUCAACAGAGCUUUAUUUUCUCACAUUUCUCAUAACAAGUUGGAUAUGGAAAACCAUCGACUCUGAAUAGGAGAUAGCGAGCUUUGGAAUGAUUCUGAGAUAGCUCCAUUUUUUAUCUUGUCUGAACUUUGGCUGUGAGCUCAAAUGAUUAAAUCAGUAUCUUUUUCAUUUUUUUCAGCCACUGAAUACUUUUUAAUAGUUUUCUAUUAUUCUAUGGAUAAUGCUUGUGUGCAUGCUUAUGAUGGAUUGCUAAUUGUUUUACACGUGCAUAAUAACUGUAAUUAACUGGGGGAGUGCUUCUUGAGGUAGAUGGAAAGCUUUGCUACUUUUGAAGAAAACGAGUGGAUAAUAGAGAAAUUGGGUGAGACAUCAUUUAUUCUGCGCAACUUUGAGAACUGGCUGAGAUGUAAACCUGGGAAAUAUAGUCAUCCCGUGUGAAUAACACAAAUGAGCUUCGAAGGACAAACAUCAUGCCAUUGGGUCAGUUCUGCAGUUAAAGAUAGUUGUCUGAAAUUGAUGAAGUUCUUGACUGCAGGUUGUCUUUUAAGCAGUUUGUAGCUUAAUAAACGGUUGUGCAGGUGCCAUGGUCAUACUAUUGAUCCUGUUAGAACAAACAAGAUAAAAUGGAUGUGCCCAACAACUAGACAAUACCACAUAACUUAUGAUAUUACCGAUAGUGAUGCGAAAAUCAGGGAAUAGACAGUAUUGUUUCUUCUUGAUUCAGAAGGCGUUCUCCAGCUUUCAGCAAGCCUCAUCUUCUAUUGAUUUUGGCAUGAUUGAGCGAACGAAGUUAACCUCGCUAAAUGAAGGUACCCACCGCUAUAGACUGUAAUGAUACUCCCUCCGUACUUAUAAAGGAAGUCGUUUAGGACAAUGUUUAAGUCAAACUUUAGGAAUAUAAAUCAUAAAUAACUCUUAAGUUGUUGAAUUUGAAAAUAAAAAAAUUAUAUGAAUAGAUUUGUCUUGGAAAAUACUUUCAUAAAAGUGUGUGUGUGUGUAUAUGUAUAUAUAUAUAUAUAUAUAUAUAUAUAUCACUUUUCAAUAAAUAUUUUUAUAGAAACAAGAAGUCAAAGUUAUGUUUUGGAGACCGUGUCACUGUCAUAAACGACUUCCUUUGUGAGUAUGGAGGGAAUACACAUUAGUUACUAAAUUUUCAGAGGCUUUUGCCUUAACUUUGUUCAAAAUAUAAUGGAGAACUCUGUUAACAGGACUCGUAAUGGGGCAAUGUUGACGUCACUCAAUGAAGCUACAUGGGUCUUGCAUAAAGGGAUUGAUCAGCUUUUCUUUUAUGCUUGCUCAUUGAUGAAAUGACAGGCAUUAGGCCUUUUUAUUUUCAAACAUUUAAUUUGCUAACAUUGAUGCCGUGUACCCUUAGUAGUAUUAUUAUAUAGUAGAACAUUAUUUAUAUCAUGUUCUUUGGGGACAAAUUUACACCGAGUGAUUAUUUCACCUGGUGUGAUUUGAAAUUGAGGCAUAUUCUUUUUCCCGUUGCAACGCACGGGCACCCAACUAGUAUAUACUAGUAGUAGUUACCGUUGGUGGAGGCCCUGCCGACGUGCGCUAGCUGGCAGAAGAAGAGCGCGCCCUUGCGGUGGACGGCGUCGACGAUGGGUUUCCACGCCUUGACCUGCUGCCGCGUCCAGACGCCGGGGAUCUCCGGGUAGCCCUCCCCGGUGGCGGACACCCCGGUGGCCUCCGAGAUGAGGAGGCCGCCAUUGGUGGCGCGCUGCGAGUAGUACAGCGCCGCGUGCGGCUGUGGCACGUGGUCGUAGGAGCGGCACCGAGUCAGCGGCGCGAGCACCACGCGGUGGGAGAGCUCGAACCGCCCCAUCUUGUACGGCGCCAUAAGCGGGAUCGCUGCCGCCGCCGCCUCUUUCGCCGCUGCUUGCGCUUGCACCAUGUUAACUACUCCUAGCUUGAUUCUUGCUGGUUUUUCGGUGUGGAUCUCGCGAUGCCAAAAACGCCCAAAAUGCUCUGGAUUUCUCUCGGUUUGUUUCUUCCUGCUGCUCUGUUUUUAGUUUUUGCUGUGUUUCCAACCGGGUUGGUGCCCGAUAGUACUUAUAGGUGUCGGAAUGGGAGCAUGGUACGGGCGGCGGCGGCGGCCAAGAUGGCCAAUUAUGGCAAGUGUACGCACGCAAGUUCGUCAGCUCUUGACUGCACUGGUGACUGGUCACGCUUUCUGUUUAUGCUGUCGUCACCCUCUCUGUCAUCGACUUGGUGGUCAGAAAAGGUUUCUGUCUGCUCCCGUCGGAACAGAUUCAGGCCUUGUUUAGGCCGUGUUUAGUAGUUUUGGCAAAAAAAAAAUUAACGUAUACAUACAUAUAUAUAUAUAUAUAUAUAUAUAUAUAUAUAUAUAUAUAUUUAAAGUAUUAAACGUAGACUAAUAACGAAACAAAUUACAGAUUUCGUCUGUAAACUGCAAGAUAAAUCUAUUAAUUCUAAUUAAUUCGUCAUUAGUAAAUAUUUAUUGUAGAACCAUAUUGUCAAAUCAUGGUGUAAUUAGGCUCAGAAGAUUCGUCUGGCAAUUUACAUGCAAACUAUGCAAUUAUUUUUUUUUGUCCAUAUUUAAUGCUCCAUGCAUGUGUUCAAACAUUUGAUGUGACGGAAAAGUUGGAAGUUUGAAUGGAACUAAACACAGCCUUAAUUUUUUUUUCCAAAAACGCCACAUCGAAUUUUGAUCACAUGCAUAGAGCAUUAAAUAUAGAUACUACCUCCGUUUCAGGUUAUAAGACUUUCUAGCAUUGCCCACAUUUAUAUAGAUGUUAAUGAAUCUACACACAUAUAUGUCUAGAUUCAUUAACAUAUAUAUGAAUGUGGGCAAUGAUAGAAGUCUUAUAAUAUGAAACGGAGGAAGUAGAAAAAAACUAAUUGCACAGUUUGUAUGGAAAUCGCGAGACGAAUCUUUUGAGCCUAAUUAAUCCAUGAUUAGCCAUAAAUGUUACAGUAACCCACAUGUGCUAAUGAUGGAUUAAUUACGCUUAAUAAAUUCGUCUCGCGAUUUUCAGGCGAGUUAUGAAAUUAGUUUUUUCAUUCGUGUUCCAAAACCCCUUCCGACAUCCGGUCAAACAUCCGAUUUGACACCUAAAAAUUUUCUUUUCGCGAACUAAACAGGGUCUGAGAAAAUAAUAGAAAAAGAAGCCUCUACGUUUGCUCUCAUAGCCUAGAAAAUCCCACAUUAAUUGGUGAAAAAUAAUAAAAAAAUUAAAAAACAAUUUGAGACAAUAUCACAUUAACAGCAUAAAAAAAAAGAAAAACAAAAAGAAUCAAUCGGACACCCUGCUUACGUAGUAAAAUCAGGACUCUUUAUUCAAUUUGGAAACACUAUUUUAAUUUAGAAAACAACAGUCAUACAUGGUCUAUCAAAGUGAAACCAAUCAGAAACAGAAAUAGAAUAAUGCAUGUAUUUGUUUCAUAUUGUACUCACUGCAUUAAUGGCAAAAAAAUACACAGACUUAGCAACCAAAGCAAAAUACAAAUACACAAAACAAUCAUAGCUGGUACGCGGGAAAUCAUCUCGCCAAAAUUAGCUUCGUCAACAAAUUAGAUAAUAGAAAAACAAAUCACCACGUUUGCUCUCAUAACCUAAAAAUUCACACAUUAAUUAAAAAUAAAAAACAGAGUCAUAUUUUUAAAAUUUAUGUUAUUCAGAUAAAAAAGUAAAACAAAUAAAAGGUGAGUCCAUAUAAAAAACAAUUUUCAAAAAUAUGAAAUUUGGAUUAAAUGUAUAAAAAAUAAAUAUUGAAAUAAGAGUAAAUGUAAAAAUAUAAUUUAUAAAAAGAAAAUCUAAAAUCGGAUUAAAUUAGAAAAUAAUUAAUAUCGAUAAAAUACUCCAUGUAGAAAUACAGUUUAUGUUGCCAUUUUUAAUACAUUUUAUAAUAAAAUAUAAAAACAUAUAUGCUACUAUAAUGAAAUAUAAAAGAAUUUUAUAAUAAUACUAGCCGCGCAAUCUGCGUGGGCAAAUAAUUAUUGGAGUAAGCAAUGCAUGGGAACAAGGAAGAUAGACUGAUGUUAUAGUACAACUAAACCCACCUUCUUUACAUCAACAUGUGAUGCACGUAGAUAUUGCGACAUGAAUUACAGCACAGAGACAAAUUCCCCCGGCAAAUAGUCUUAGCUGGAAGGAACUGGGGCGGCAGUAUUGCAGCUUCCAUCCGCGCCGUGAGAAACAAGCUGUUGUAUAAACUCGUCAAUGUACCUCUCAUGGAGUUCCUUGUCAGCUACAAGCUCUUGCAGCCUGAUGGCGUUUGCUACAAACACCCUCCUGGUUUCUUCCUCAACCAUGACGGCCCGGACCGCGGCGGCGACGCCAUGGCGGUCGAAUGACCCGUCCAUGUCAUCCCGCCUCACCUGCGAUCCUACCUUGUUACCCUCCAUGAGCCGCGCGUUCGGCCCUUGGUCCCCGAAGAUGGGCAACAUGAUGAGAGGGUUCCCAAACAGAAGCCCCUCGACGAGCGAGUUGCGGCCACAGUGCGUCAAGAAGGCGCCCACCGCGGCGUGCGCCAGUAUGGUGAUCUGCGGAACCCACCCCAUGGCAACAUGUCCAUGGCUCUUCGUCCGUUCUUGGUAACCCGGAGGAAGGACAUCUGAGAGAUCGACGCCAUGGGGCUUUCUCAGCGCCCACAGAAAUCGUGUCCCGGCGAGCUCCAGCCCGAGAGCCAGCUCGUGCACCUGCUCCAAUGGUAGAGGCACCUCGCUCCCCAGCGCCACGUACACCACCGACUUCGCCGGCUGCACGUCCAGCCACCGCAUCGUCGAGUUGUCCGUCAUGCCGGCGCGGCGGCGGCCUCCGUCGGGCGACGGUGGCACGAGGCCGAGGGGGAUGAGCGGCUUGUUCUUCAGGCCCGCCGCCACCUGCUGGAAGGCGUCGGGCUCCCACUCCGGGCAGCUCCGCAUGGCCGCCAGCGUGCACCUCUCCAUCGCCAAGGAGCAGCGCUUCGCGACGGACAUGCCCGACGCGCCAUGGUCGACGAAGAAGCUUGCCUUCUGCGCCCACUCUUAACAUGGCACGCCCUCCCGGCGUUCUUCUACCACGCCGAGCACUUGGAAGAUGGAAGCGCCGGCUGGCUCCGACGACCGGGUGGCCCAUCCGGCCAUCAUGGAGGCGCUCGGGAGAAGCAUCGCGCAUGGCACCUUGUGCUGGAGGGCGACCAGGGGUGCCCAGUGGUGGAACGUGUCGGCGAUGAUCCAAUCAGGCCUCUCGCCGGCGGCGUCGCACGCGGCGCCCAGGAACUCCGCGAACGGCGCGGCGAGGGCGUCGAAGGCCUUCCAGAGGAGCUCGAACUUGCCGGAGGGAACGUCGUUGGUGCACUCGGUGCCGUCCGGGAGGCGCGCGAGGUUGCGUGGCGUGGAGACGAAGGACACGCGGUGGCCACGCGACGCCACGCGCUCCGCGAGCUCGAGGUAAGGGAGCAGGUGGCCGAACGCGAGCCAUGGGAAGAUCACAAGGUGCAGCCUCGACGAGGAUUUGGACCGGCCGGUGUCCAUGGCGAUGUUGCCAGAUACAGAGGAGCUAAACCUUAAUCUCUCGCUGUCUCAUGAAUAAUAAACACCGGUAGAGAUAAGAAAUCAGCAAGAAACCAUAUGCAUUAGCUAGUUGUUCUUUAUAUAACCAGUCUUCAAAUAAUGAUUGAUUUUAUUGGUGAAACAAUGGUCUUACCUAUCGAUCGAUUUUUUAUGUGAAACAGGACUCAAUAGCUAGUGGUUCUUAAAUUUUUAUUAUUUUCUGUAGGUACUUGUUGACAGUGAAAUUUGGUAAGCCCAAAGUCAUCAUCGGCUUAGAGUCAAUAUCGGCUUCAGAGUCCUGAAAUCAGCCGAUGGGAGUCGACAAAUCGCCAACAACCGUGUUCUCGAUGGAAUCGGAUCAAUUAAAGGGAAUUUAUCCAGAAGAGUCCGAGUUCAAGAAGAAUGCGGCAUGGCAGUUUAUCUAUUAAUUAGGAAUAGUUUGUUAGUUUCCUUUUUAUUUUUAGGAAAGUGUGUUUAGUGUCCUAUAAGGACUUUAUGUUUUCCUUUUAUCUUUAGUAAAGUUUCUUUCUUGUCCCAUAAGGACUAGUAUCUACCCAUGGGUAUAAAUAUGUACACUCGGGGUCAUUGUAAUCUAUCUCUACGAUCAACACAAUUCGGCGCAUCGCCACCCUUUUUACUUUUACUUUUGUUUCUACGUUCCGGUGGAACUUGGCACCCGACGCGGGGCUGCAUCGGUGUUCGAUCUCCGGCUAAGGGGUAAGUCCAAUGUUCCAUCGGCCCAGGCAAUUGUCUUAUCUACAUCGGCGUCGUUCAAGGCUGCAUCAGUACAUUUGACCUCUUGGAUUGCACUGGUUUGGAUGAUAUAUUUGCCUACCUACUUAUCAUAUGUCUCUGUUAAUCUAGUCGUAGCAUAUCGAUUUAGCUCUAUCGGCUGUCUCUCGCUUUAGAGUUUCUGCCGGUAUCGGCUAAAUCGCGUUGCUAGAUUAGAUUAGUUUAGACAUCUACCACCCUGAAAACUCAGUCAACGGCUUGAUUGUCUAGAUAUUAUGUUUCUUUUCAUACUUAGUGCUGCAUCAGUUAAGUUUGAUCUACUAAGUCGUGCUUAGAACCAUAAUCCCUAGCCUGCUUCUUGAUUGCCAAUAAGGGUUUCAUCGGGGUUUCAGCCGGUGAGUUAUCUGGACGUUGCAUCGGCUUGUAAGGAUUGCAUAUACAUACAUAUUGGAUUUAGCCGAUGACAACAAAGGUUUCACUGUUUAAUCUAAUCUUGUAGAUUUCAUGGCAUCGGACCGCUAGCCGAUGUGUGCUUUAACCUUCGGAUCAGUGCUUGUUCUACUAUAUCAUAUUGUUAGCCGAUUGGUUUCUACUGGAUAUUAUUGUUAUAUUUUAUUACCAUCAGCCGAUUGCCUUUAUAUCAUUAUCUACAUUGGACAUAUAGCCGAUUGCUUAAACCCUAUCGCUAUCGGCUGGUACCGGCAUCGGCUAUUAUCGGCUAUCGGCUGGAACUGCUCCAUCGGCUUGUCAGCCGAUCGGUUGUUUUGAUCUACUAUUUACAUAUCUUGUCAGUGGCAGGAUCAAACUGACUGGCAUGCCUGUAUCUCAUCAUAUUUGGACCUGCACUGGAGCUAAGCAGAUCUCCUAGGCCGACGUGUUCAAUUUUUUCGUCAACGGUAUUGCAGGUCUCGAUGGUUCUUAAUUAUAAUAUAUAUAUCGUAUGCGUGCAACACAUGUUGUGAAUAAUAAAUAAAUAAUCUCAACCCAAUAAAGUCUGUUUCUGCCAUUUCACUUUCGAUAGAUUUUAGGUCUAUGUCUUUCAUUUUUCUUUCGUAAGAUCUUGCAUCAAAAUUUGUGUUUAUUUAGAUCUAACAUGUAGUUACACUAGUUACAGUAAACUUACUAGGUUACGUUGCACCAAAAUUAGAUUCUUUUUUUUACAACUGUUUUGUUUCUAUAUUUACGAUUUUUGGCAUGUUUGUUCCUUUUUAUUUCAUUUAAAACGGGUUGUAUAUAUUGGAUGAAAAUUAUGUAAGAUUUGAAGCUCCAAGUCUAUCAAUCUAUUGAUAGGUAGUACCAUAACAGUUUACUUCGGAAGAUCAUCAGUGGACGACACUUUCUACUGAUAUGAAUUAAGAGCCAUAGUGCUCCAAACACCAACAAGUAGUAGACAAGCAGCUCUUUUACAACAUAUGUGGGAAAAAGAAUUUAUUUCUUAAUUUAAUUUGAUAGUUCGUGUACAACACCAUUGUUAUUCAUGCUUGGCGCCCAAUUCAGGGAAUGACAAGGAUAAGAUAGAAGUGAUAAUUUCUUUUUAAGUUUUGAAUCGAUUUAUGGUAUAGAGUUGACACAAUUUGCUUAUGGCGUUAAUUGGUCUACUAAAUUUUAGCGGUACAGAUAGAUACACUAGCGAGGAGGGAAGGAGGAUUGGGGAGGAGAGGGAUGCCAGGAAGGAGGGAGAGAGGUAGGGGAGAAGAGGAGCACUGAGAGAAGAGGGCUGCCGAGCUGGGAGGAGGGCCAGCAUGAACGAGGGGCGCUAACAUGAAUUUUCUUAGUCCGCCACUAGCUACAAUAUCUCAGCGCCAGUAAGUUUGGCGUUGAGCUCUUAUUCAAGGUGGCGCAAAUUUGCCAAGAUGUCGAAGCGCAGUACCACUCCACUGACACUGAGCUCUCUACUGCUAAAAACAGUGUGCAUUCCCUCUUUUAUAGCAAAGCAAGGCUAGUGCAGUGGUGGAGGUCUUCAGUCUCGAGACGACGGUUUGAUUCUGCCAUCCUUCAUGCUUGCUUUUUUUUUUCCCAUUUCACUCAACACUUUUUAAUCAGUAGAGUGCCUAGCGCCAAUGAUAUUGAUGCUAAACUCUGAUGAUAUGGUAUACUCAUGCCACUACUAGUAGAGAGCUCAACACAAUGGCAUUGGCACUAAACUCCGAUGACAUCACAAACUCGUGCCACCUUGGACAAUGUGCUCAUCUUCGAUGACAUUGUAAACUUGUGCCACCUUGGACAAGAGCUCAGCACUAGGCAUUGGUAUUGAGAUGUUAUACCUCAACACAGUGGCGAAUAUAGAAUAUAAACUAUGAAGAUGCGGGUGUAAAAAUAUAGUAUGACUGAAACAACCCAGUGUGAUCAUAGGUGCUCCAUGAUAGGUGUGUUGAGCUGCAUUAGAUAAUGCAAUAGGAUUUUGAUAGUAUUAGCACUAUAAUGAUCAUAGGAAAGGGAAUACAUAUUUCUCGAACAAUAUUAUUACAUUAGCUCGUUAAUUUCGAACCACCAGCUACAAACUUUCAAGAAAAAAAAUGUAUUCAUGCUUGUCCGUAUCACAUGAGAAGCGUUACUCCCUCCGUAUUUUAAUGUAUGACGCUGUUAACUUUUUAACCAACGUUUGAUCAUUCGUUUUAUUCAAUUUUUUUUGCAAAUAUGAAAAUAGUUAUGUCAUGCUUAAAGAAUAUUUGAUGGUGAAUCAAGUCACAAUAAAAUAAAUGAUAAUUAUAUAAAUUUUUUGAAUAAGACGAAUGGUUAAACGUUGGAUAAAAAGUCAACGGCGUCAUACAUUAAAAUAUGGAGGUAGUACAUUAUUAAUCCAAAUAAUAGGCUAAAAUUGGAUUAUUUAGGUGCCAAUUAAGCAUAGGUAGUUGUUGACUCCUCAUCAAUCUCCUCAAGAAAAGGGUAAUCUGUAUAACCAACAACGGGAUCCUGUGUAUAAAAGGUAGACCUGUCAUACCUGUUCAAUGGUGCGUCAAGCUCAAACCUCCUCGGCAAGUCAGGGUUAGCCAAGAAGAGCCUCCCGUAGGCGACGAGAUCGGCAUAGCCAUCAGCCACCACCUUGUUCCCUUCCUCCCGGUCAUACCCGCCAGCAGCGAUGAAAGUGCCAUUGAACUGCUUCCUGAAUGGCAGGAGACCAUGGGUGAUCUUCCUCCGUCCUUCGACGAUGGCCAUUCCUGGCUCCACCAUGUGGCAGUAGAGAAAGCCUGGGUGCUUGUUGAGUUGCUGCACCAUGUAUGAGCCGAGAGCUACCGGGUUGGAGUCGAAGCAGUCCAUGUAGUUGUCGAAUGGCGAUAAUCUGAUUCCAACACGGUGCGCUCCCACCUCGGCGACGACGGCAUCGAUCACCUCGACGGCGAAGCGGCACCGGUUCUCGAGGUUGCCACCGUACUCGUCGGUGCGGUCGUUGGCGCUGUCCUUCAUGAACUGGUCGAGGAGGUAGCCGUGCGCGCCAUGGAUCUCCACGCCGUCGAACCCCGACUCGAUGGCGUUCCGCGCGGCUCGCCUGAAGUCGUCGACGAUCUGAGGGAUCUCGUCUGUCCGGAGCCGCCGGGGCUUGGAGUACACCAUGCCUGAAUCGUCCGGUGUGAUCUGCUUAUCGGUGCUCGAGAUCGGCGCCUGUCCAUUUGGCUGGAAAUCUGUCGAUUUCAUUUCGAAAUUUAAUUAAUCAACCAACGAGCACAAUUUGCAAUGACCUUUGAAAAAAAAUCAACCAACCACCAGCAAGUGGACGAACCUGUGGUGGAGACCCUGCCGACGUGCCAUAUCUGUAGGAAGAAGAGGGCGCCCUUGCGGUGGACGGCGUCGACGAUGGGUUUCCACGCUUCGAUCUGCUGCUGCGUGUAGAUGCCGGGGGUGUCCGGGUAGCCCUGCGCGGUGGGGGAGAUGACAGUGGCCUCCGCGAUGAGGAGUCCGCCGUUGGUGGCGCGCUGCGAGUAGUACACCGCGGCGUGCGGCUGCGGCACGUGGCCGUAGGAGCGGCACCGCGUCAGCGGCGCGAGCACCACCCGGUGGGACAGCUCCAGCUGCCCCAUCUUGUACGGCGUCAGCAGCGGGAUCGCCUCUUUCGCAGGUGCGUGCACCAUCUUGGCCUGGAGUGCGCACGCGAUUUCGUCAGGUAUAGACUGGUAGCCGCUUUUCUGUUCCCAACUGCUUCAGUUAGUGCAACAAACCAAGAAAAAGAAAAUCUAACAAAUGUAUGGGCAUUCACCUCACGAGCGCACACGAGGUAACGACGGCCUGGAUUCCUAUCCGUGCGUGAGGUUUUGAUUGCCACAGGAAAACGGCAGCAACACUUCAACACCGGCGGCGAAGACGCCAUGGAUGUUUGGAGGGAGAGUAGAGAGGAAGGUUGGGGAAAGAAGACGACAGUGCGUGUGGUUUGGGGAUGGAUGUGCUGGCCCUCUCUAUCACCAACACAAGAUCCUGGUACUAGAAAAGAUGUACUAGUUAUUGGGGCGGAGCUAGCACCAAAACUAAGGUGGUGCACUACCAUUGAAAACCUAUAAAACUUCAAUCGAAUACUGUGCAUUUCAGUGUUUUAAAGUGAGAAAUCUUGGCUUUAGGGGAGUUCCUGUGCAUCAGAUUAGCUGAACGUGGCUGACUAGUACUAUACCACCAACACGCAUGACGGGGACAGCGCGUGUGGUUUGGGGAUGGAUAUACUGCCACUCUAUCCCCACCAGCUAUUAGGACAGGUGUGGGUCCAGUUGACAUGACUAUACUUAGGCCGUGUUUAGUUUCAAAGUUUUCCUUUAAAUUUCUAACUUUUUCAUCAGAUCAAAACUUUCCUAAAUACAUAAACUUCCAACUUUUCCGUCACACCGUUUCAAUUUCAACCAAACUUUCAAUUUUGGCGUGAACUAAACACAGUCUUACAAAGGUUACAAAGGCCGUGUUUAUACCUUUGUCACAUCGAAGAUACGGACACAUAGAAGUAUUAAACGUAGUCUAAUAACAAAAAAAAAUACAUAAUCCGUCUAUAAACUGCAGCACCAUAUUGUUAAAUAUAUAGCAAUUAGGCUUAAAAGAUUCGUAUCGCAAUUUACACGCAAUCUGUGUAAUUAGUUUUUAUUUUUAUCUAUAUUUAAUACUUUAUACAUGCAUUCAAACAUUUGAUAUGACAGGGUGAAAAAACUUGCCAGAAGAUCUAAUCAGGCCUAAAGAAUACGGAACACAGAAAAUGAAUGAACGGUUGCAAUAGAUAUGGACUGGUAGAUGUAUGCACGAAUCUCCAAGUUGAGAAAAUUCCAUAUGUACCCUUGAAACUUCACCCAAUCCCUUCUAUUCUCCUGAGAUUUGUUUAUUUUCUUUCAUAUCCCUAAGUUUCAAUUUGGAUCCCUUCUAUACCCCUUUCAUCAGUUGACUAUUAUUUGACCGUUAAAUUUCUAUCAUAAAGUUCAUUUUUCUUUUUGGUAUCAAGAAAAUAUAAAUUUAUGAAGUAUAUUGAUAAAGUGUAUACUGAUAUGAAUUAGGAGCCAUACUGCUCCAAACACCAAAGUAGACAAGCAGCUCUUUUUACGACAUAUGUGGCAAAAAGAAUUUAUUUCAUAAUUUAAUUUGACAGUUCGUGUAUAACACCAUUGUUAUUCAUGCUUGGCGCCCUUUAGGAAAUGACACAGGUAGAUGGAAGUGAUAAUUUCUUUUUAAGUUUUGAAUCGAUUUAUGGUAUAGAGUUAACAUAAUUUGUUUAUGGCGUUGAUCGGUCAACUAAAUUUUAGCGGUACACAUAGAUACGCUGGGGAGGAGGGAAGGAGGGUUGGGGAGGAGAGGGAUGCCAGGAAGGAGGGAUAGAGUGUAGGGGAGAAGAGGGGUGCUAAUAGAAGAGGGCUGCCAAGUAGGGAGGAGGGACGACAUGGAUGAGGUCCGUACGUCAACAGGGAAGAGAGAGCCGCAGGUGGGGAUGGAGCGCGCAUGCGGCGGGGCAAGCGAUCGGAAUCAGAACCGAGAACCGAGAUGGAUAGGGAGAGUUGGGCGGACUAAUAUUUUGUUGGAAGCAGAUUUUAUUUUUUAAAUAGGCAAAGAUUGAUCCUUUAAAAAAACUUGUUUUGAAAAAACAUCAUGAUAAAAACUAAUUACAGAAAUAGGCAUCUGCUUUAGCACCAACCUCAAUGACACUGAGCUAUAGCCUGGGACGAACCCAAGGGGUGCCGGGUAUGCACUACCCAAAAAUUUUGAAAAAAAAACACUAGGGUGUGGCGUGGAAUCAUGGCAAGGAUGGUAGCGAGAAAGCAUUAAAAUAGAAUCCCCUCGAUGAAUAGAGCACAAUGGUGAUCACAGUUUGUCCGGAGGUCAAAUCAGGAUAAGAAGAAAGGACUGAAGGAAGAACCAAGAAGAAGAAUGGCUAGGUAGCUUAGGGCAUGAUGGCUUUCGUUGGAUGGUAUCACUAGGAGUUCACCUUACUAAUUCAUUGUGCAUCCACGAUGUCGUGCAGCUGUGCGCAUUAAAAUAACCGAUCAGAUCAAGAGUGGACUGAAACUCGAUGGUAAUAAGAAGAUGAACCUUUAGAGACUAUACAACUAUCUUAACUGACAACGGGUUGCGGCAAGGGACGAAGCAUGAGUGGACUGCUUUUUCUUCCCCUGAAUUUUACAGAUUUUUCACGAAUUCUGAACCACAGUUUGAUUAUUUUUUUGAAAAAUUAAAUCAAAAUUUGCCAAAAUUUUGCUACCAAACCUUGAUGUUUUCUUUUUAAAAGAUAGAGGGGAGUGAUCCCUAAUAGACACACUCAACGUGAAUUUCCUUAGUCCUCCACUACCUGCAAUGUCUCGGCACUAGUAAGUUUGGAGUUGAGCUCUUAUUCAAGGUGGUACAAAUUUGCCAGGAACCAAAGUACCACUGCCACUGACAUUGACCUCUUUAUUGCUAAAAAUAGUGUGCAUUCCCUCUUUUACAGCAAAGCAAGGCUAGUGCAGUGGUGGAGGUCUUCAGUCCCAAGUCCAUGGUUUGCUUCCGUGAUCCUUCAUACUUGCUUUUUUUUUUCCAUUUCACUCAACACUUUUUAAUUAGUAGAGUGCUCAGGGCCAAUGAUAUUGAUGCUAAACUCUGAUGACAUGGUAUACUCGUGCCACCACUAGUAGAUAGCUCAACACAAUGGCAUUGGCACUAAACUCCGAUGACAUGAUAAACUCGUGCCACCUUGGACAAUGUGCUCAUCUUCAAUGACAUUGUAAACUUGUGCCGUCUUAGACAAGAGCUCAAAGCUAAGCAUUGGUAUUGAGAUGUUAUAGCUCAACGCAGUGGCGAAUCUAGCAUAUAAGUUAAGAAGAUGCUGGUGUAAAAAUAUAGUAUGACUGAAACAACCCGGUGUGAUCAUGGGUGCUCUGUGAUAGGUGUGUCGAGCUACAUACUCUAACACAGUAGGAUUAGCACUAUAAUGAUGAUAGGAAAAGGAAUACAUCGAUUUUUUUAAAAGUAAUAUGAUUUUAAUGGAAAAUCGCAAAACUAUAGAUCAGUUUGAUGAAAUCGCAAGUUUAGCACCCUAUCGAACAAUCACGGUUCGAUAGGGGUACCUAUCGAACAACUACAACUACAGUUCGACAGGUACAUGUCGAACUGUUUUAGUUCGACAGGGUAGUUCGUCCAAAAACAAAUAAAAAAGUACAUGAACAGUAUCACUACAGUGCUAGACAGGGACAUAUCGAACUGCCAAAGUUCGAGAGGGGUUGCGUGAACAGCGCGCUAUAGUGAUGCUACAGUGCUCGCAGGCACAUAUCGAACUGCCUAGGUUCGAUAGGGUAUUGUGAACAGCGUGCUACAGUGAUUUUUCCUUUUUUAAUUUUUUUUAAUCACCUGUCGAACUGCCGCAGGUACCCUAUCGAAUUGUAGUUGUUCGAUAGGUAUCCUGUCGAACCACGGUUGUUCGAUAGGGUGCUAAACUUGCGAUUUCAUCUAACCGACCUAGACUUUUACGAUUUUCCAUUAAAAUCGUAUUAUUUUCAAAAAAAAAAUUCGAAUACAUCUUUCUCGAACAAUAUCAAUAUUACAUUAGCUCAUUAAUCUCGAAUCAACAGCUACAAACUUACAACAAAAAAAUGUAUUCAUGCUUGUCCGUAUCACAUGAUAAGUGUUACAUUAUUAAUCCAAAUAAUAGGCUAAAAUUGGAUUAUUUAGGUGACAAUUAAGCAUAAGUAGUUCUUGACUCCUCAUCAAUCUCCUCAAGAAAAGGGUAAUCUGUAUAGCCAACAACGGGAUCCUGUGUAUAAAAGGUAGACCUGUCAUACCUGUUCAAUGGUGCGUCAAGCUCAAACCUCCUCGGCAAGUCAGGGUUAGCCAAGAAGAGCCUCCCAUAGGCGACGAGAUCGGCAUAGCCAUCAGCCACCACCUUGUUCCCUUCCUCCCGGUCAUACCCGCCAGCAGCGAUGAAAGUGCCAUUGAACUGCUUCCUGAAUGGUAGGAGGCCAUGGGCGAUCUUCCUUCGUCCUUCGAUUAUGGCCAUUCUUGGCUCCACCAUGUGGCAGUAGAGAAACCCUGGGUGCUUGUUGAGUUGCUGCACCAUGUAUGAGCCGAGAGCCACCGGGUCGGAGUCGAAGCAGUCCAUGAAGUCGACGAACGGCGAUAAUCUGAUUCCGACACGGUGAGCUCCCACCUCGGCGACGACGGCGUCGAUCACCUCGACGGCGAAGCGGCACCGGUUCUCGAGGCUGCCACCGUACUCGUCGGUGCGGUCGUUGGCGCUGUCCUUCAUGAACUGCUCCAGGAGGUAGCCGUGCGCGCCAUGAAUCUCCACGCCGUCGAACCCCGCCUCGAUGGCGUUCCGCGCGGCUCGCCUGAAGUCGUCGAUGAUCUGAGGGAUCUCAUCC
rnacentral:lncRNA from 1 species